AGAUUUUUUGAGUUCCCAAUACGUUUCAUAGAAAAUAAAGUUUCGCUAUUGUUGCCCAGGGGAGUGCAAUGGCACGAUCUCAGCUCACUGCAACCUUCACCUCCCGGAUUCAAGCAAUGUUUCUGCCUCAGCCUCCCAAGUAGCUGGGAUUACAGGCACCCGCCACCACACCUGGCUAAUUUUUUGUAUUUUUAGUAGAGAUGGGGUUUCACCAUGUUGGCCAGGCUGGUCUCGAACUCCUAACCUCAGGUGAUCCACCUGCCUUGGCCUCCCACCACGCCUGGGAUUACAGGUGUGAGCCACCACGCCCAGCCUGUUAGUGUAACUUUUCUAACAGAAGUUCAGCGGGAGAUCCUGUUGCCCAGAACUGUUCAUCUUACAUUAAAGCAAGAUGUGGUGAA
rnacentral:sRNA from 1 species